rfam:Operophtera brumata OBRT01_Sc00289, whole genome shotgun sequence.
UACAAGGCCCUAUUCAGGGCCACCAAACCUGAAAAUGGUCU